rnacentral:rRNA from 1 species
GCUGUUAAGGGUUCGUAGUUGAAUUGGGGGUUGUGAAGGAAACGAUGAGCCCGACCCAACUGGGUUUUGGGCCUAUGUCUUCCAGCUCGAGAACACAAGAAACAAAUCCACGGGAUUGGUCCUCGCCAAACUUCACAUGCAAUGCAUGUUGGCGGGGCGCCCGUGAUUAUUACUGUGCAAAAGAAGCGUGACUAAAGCAGUCAAACGACAUGAAUUAGAAAGCAUGGGAUAACAAAGGGCAGCCUACGGAUUACCGUUUCGGCUUUUGUUGGUUUUAAAGGUCUGUGGGAGACUAGGGCUCGUUGCGCAACGCGAAGGUUCGCCUCCGCCAUCUGGCUUCGGUCAGACGCACGGUGCCCGGAAUGAAGGAGGGUUGUUCGGGGGAGAACGUACUUGAACGUGAGAGGUGAAAUUCUUGACCGUUCAAAGACGAACUACAGCGAAGGCAUUCUCCAAGGAUACCUUCCUCAAUCAGAACCAAAGUGUGGAGAUCGAAGAUGAUUAGAUACCAUUGUAGUCC